CGAACGCUGGCGGCGUGCCUAACACAUGCAAGUCGAACGGACGAGGAGGAGCUUGCUUCUCCAAGUCAGUGGCGGACGGGUGAGUAACGCGUGAGUAACCUGCCCUUCAGAGGGGGAUAACGUCUGGAAACGGACGCUAAUACCGCAUGACAUAUUUCCAUCGCAUGGUGGAGAUAUCAAAGGAGCAAUCCGCUGAAGGAUGGACUCGCGUCCGAUUAGAUAGUUGGCGGGGUAACGGCCCACCAAGUCGACGAUCGGUAGCCGGACUGAGAGGUUGAACGGCCACAUUGGGACUGAGACACGGCCCAGACUCCUACGGGAGGCAGCAGUGGGGGAUAUUGCACAAUGGGCGAAAGCCUGAUGCAGCAACGCCGCGUGAGGGAAGACGGUUUUCGGAUUGUAAACCUCUGUUCUAAGUGACGAACAAAUGACGGUAGCUUAGGAGAAAGCCCCGGCUAACUACGUGCCAGCAGCCGCGGUAAUACGUAGGGGGCAAGCGUUGUCCGGAAUUACUGGGUGUAAAGGGAGCGCAGGCGGAGAAGCAAGUCAGUGGUGAAAACGAUGGGCUUAACUCAUCGACUGCCAUUGAAACUGUUUCCCUUGAGUGAAGUAGAGGCAGGCGGAAUUCCGAGUGUAGCGGUGAAAUGCGUAGAUAUUCGGAGGAACACCAGUGGCGAAGGCGGCCUGCUGGGCUUUAACUGACGCUGAGGCUCGAAAGUGUGGGGAGCAAACAGGAUUAGAUACCCUGGUAGUCCACACUGUAAACGAUGAUUGCUAGGUGUGGGGGGUCUGACCCCUUCCGUGCCGGAGUUAACGCAAUAAGCAAUCCACCUGGGGAGUACGGCCGCAAGGUUGAAACUCAAAG
rnacentral:rRNA from 1 species